GAUGUCUGGUCUCUUCUUCUUUGGUUACCUAGUUUUGCGGACAUAUUUGAGAACCCAUAAAGCUAGGUCAGCAAAGCAGAAUGGGUCAGACGA